rnacentral:rRNA from 1 species
AUACGUAGGGUGCAAGCGUUAAUCGGAAUUACUGGGCGUAAAGCGUGCGCAGGCGGUUUUGUAAGACAGUGGUGAAAUCCCCGGGCUCAACCUGGGAACUGCCAUUGUGACUGCAAGGCUGGAGUGCGGCAGAGGGGGAUGGAAUUCCGCGUGUAGCAGUGAAAUGCGUAGAUAUGCGGAGGAACACCGAUGGCGAAGGCAAUCCCCUGGGCCUGCACUGACGCUCAUGCACGAAAGCGUGGGGAGCAAACAGGAUUAGAUACCCUGGUAGUCCACGCCCUAAACGAUGUCAGCUGGUUGUUGGGGAUUUAUUUUCUCAGUAACGAAGCUAACGCGUGAAGUUGACCGCCUGGGGAGUACGGCCGCAAGGUUAAAACUCAAAGGAAUUGACGGGG